rnacentral:rRNA from 1 species
AUACAGAGGGUGCGAGCGUUAAUCGGAAUUACUGGGCGUAAAGGGUGCGUAGGCGGCUUGAUAAGUCGGAUGUGAAAGCCCCGGGCUUAACCUGGGAAUUGCAUUCGAUACUGUCAGGCUAGAGUAUGUCAGAGGUUGGCGGAAUUCCUGGUGUAGCGGUGAAAUGCGUAGAUAUCAGGAGGAACACCAGUGGCGAAGGCGGCUAACUGGGGCAAUACUGACGCUGAGGCACGAAAGCGUGGGGAGCAAACAGGAUUAGAAACCCUAGUAGUCC